GACGAACGCUGGCGGCGUGCUUAACACAUGCAAGUCGAACGGAAAGGCCCUGCUCUUGUGGGGUUCUCGAGUGGCGAACGGGUGAGUAACACGUGAGUAACCUGCCCUUGACUUUGGGAUAACUUCAGGAAACUGGGGCUAAUACCGGAUAGGAGCUCCUGCUGCAUGGUGGGGGUUGGAGAGUUGCGGCGGUUGGGGCUGGACUCGCGGCUUAUCCGCUUGUUGGGGGGGUAGUGGAGUACCAAGGAUUUGACGGGUAGCCGGCCUGGGAGGGUGACCGGCCACAUUGGGCCUGAGAUACGGCCAAGAGUCAUACGGGAGGAAGGAGUGGGGAAUAUAGGGCAAUGGGCGGAAGCCUGAUGGAGCAACGCCGCGUGCGGGAUGACUGCCUUCGGGUUGUAACCCGUUUUCGCCUGUGACGAAGCGUGAGUGACGGUAAUGGGUAAAGAAGCACCGGCUACCUACGU
rnacentral:rRNA from 1 species